AUCACUUCUCGGCCUUUUGGCGAAGAUCAAGUGUAGUAUCUGUUGUUAUUAGCAUAAUAUUGUAUAUGCAACCAAUAGUCAAUACAAGGUUGGUUGUAUCUGAUAUGAACCAACAUUGAGUUAAAAAUGGACUUUGAGUAUUUUUAAAAAGCUAAUUAACUAGAUUUGCUUACUUAAC
ensembl:snRNA U2 U2 spliceosomal RNA